AUACGGAGGGUGCAAGCGUUAUUCGGAAUCACUGGGCGUAAAGGACGCGUAGGCGGGUUGGCAAGUCAGAUGUGAAAUCCUACAGCUUAACUGUAGAACUGCAUUUGAAACUGCUAACCUAGAGUACGGGAGGGGGAGAUGGAAUUAGUGGUGUAGGGGUAAAAUCCGUAGAUAUCACUAGGAAUACCGAAAGCGAAGGCGAUCUCCUGGAACAUAACUGACGCUAAGGCGUGAAAGCGUGGGGAGCAAACAGGAUUAGAAACCCCAGUAGUCC
rnacentral:rRNA from 1 species